rnacentral:rRNA from 1 species
UUAAUAGAUGUAGUUUGAGAAAUUAUUUAUCUAUAAACAUUUUAAUUAUUUUGUUAUUUAAUUGAAAAAUCAUAUUUUUUAGUAAAUUUAUUGAAAAAAAAAAUAUUGAUAUAGUGUACUAGUAUUGUGAAAGAAAAUUUAAAUUGAAGUAAAAGAAAAAAUUUUAUUUUGUACCUUGUGUAUCAGGGCUUAUUAAAAAUAGUUUAAAGAUUUAUUUUUCUCGAAUUCAAAAGAGUUAUUUGUUUAGGAUUUUUAUUGUGGCAAAAAUAUUAUUAAUAAGCAAAUAGGGGUGAAAUGCUAAUCGAUUUUGAAUAUAUCUGGUUUUUAAAGAAAAAAAUUUAAUUUUAUUUUAUUUUAGUAUUUUUUUAAGUUUUUAAUAAUUUAUUGGGUAAAAUAAAUAAUUUAGGGGUUGAGCUUUAAAUUAAAUUAAUAUAAUUAGUUUGAUUUUUAAUUUAAUAUUUAGGAAUUAAAGUUUCUUUAUAAAGUGAUUUAUAUCUUAGUUAAUUAAUUUAUAUGAUUUAUCAAAUUUAUUUAUUUUUUUUAUUUAAAUUUAGGUUUUAAUUUUUUUUAUUUAGUAAAAAUGAUAAGAUUAGUACAAUAUUGUUUAUAUUUAAAUAAAAAUUAAAGGUUUAUUUAAGGAAUUCGGCAAAAAUAUUUCCCACCUGUUUAUUAAAAACAUGUCUUUUUGAAUAUAAUUUAAAGUCUGACCUGCCCAAUGAUUUAAGUAUUAAAUGGCCGCGGUAUACUGACCGUGCAAAGGUAGCAUAAUCAUUAGUUUUUUAAUUGAAAGCUUGUAUGAAGGGUUUGAUGAGGAAAAAUCUGUCUCAAUAAAAAUUUAUUGGAAUUUUAUUAUUUUGUAAGAAGGCAAAAAUUUCUAUAAAAGACGAGAAGACCCUAUAGAGUUUUAUAUUUAAAGUGAAAAUGGUUAUUAGAAUUUUUUUCCUUAUUUAUUUUAAUUAUUUGGUUGGGGUGAUUGAAUAAUUUAAUAAACUUUUUUUAUUUUAUAUACAUUGAUAAAUGAAUAUUUGAUCCUUUAUUAAAGAUUAAAAGAAAAAAUUACCUUAGGGAUAACAGCGUUAUUUUUCUAGAGAGUUCUAAUCGAAAGGAAAGUUUGCGACCUCGAUGUUGGAUUAAAAUUUAUGUUUGGUGUAGAGGCUAAACUAUUAGGUCUGUUCGACCUUUAAAAUUUUACAUGAUCUGAGUUUAGACCGGCGUGAGCCAGGUUGGUUUCUAUCUUUAUAAUGUUAAUAUUUUUUAGUACGAAAGGACCAAAAAUUUACUAAAAUAGUUUUAUAUUGAAUACUAUUACUGCUUUGACAGAAUAGUGUGAUAGAUUUAGAAUCUUUUUAUAUAGUGAUGAACUAUAA